GAUCAUGGCUCAGAUUGAACGCUGGCGGCAGGCCUAACACAUGCAAGUCGAGCGGUAGAGAGAAGGACUUGGCUUCUCUUGAGAGCGGCGGACGGGUGAGUAAUGCCUAGGAAUCUGCCUGGUAGUGGGGGAUAACGUUCGGAAACGGACGCUAAUACCGCAUACGUCCUACGGGAGAAAGCAGGGGACCUUCGGGCCUUGCGCUAUCAGAUGAGCCUAGGUCGGAUUAGCUAGUUGGUGAGGUAAUGGCUCACCAAGGCGACGAUCCGUAACUGGUCUGAGAGGAUGAUCAGUCACACUGGAACUGAGACACGGUCCAGACUCCUACGGGAGGCAGCAGUGGGGAAUAUUGGACAAUGGGCGAAAGCCUGAUCCAGCCAUGCCGCGUGUGUGAAGAAGGUCUUCGGAUUGUAAAGCACUUUAAGUUGGGAGGAAGGGCAGUUACCUAAUACGUGAUUGUUUUGACGUUACCGACAGAAUAAGCACCGGCUAACUCUGUG
rnacentral:rRNA from 1 species